GAUGAACGCUGGCGGCGUGCUUAACACAUGCAAGUCGAACGGAAAGGCCCAAGCUUGCUUGGGUACUCGAGUGGCGAACGGGUGAGUAACACGUGGGUGAUCUGCCCUGCACUUCGGGAUAAGCCUGGGAAAUUGGGUCUAAUACCGGAUAGGACCACUUCUUGGAUGUUGUGGUGGAAAGUUUUUUUGGUGUGGGAUGAGCUCGCGGCCUAUCAGCUUGUUGGUGGGGUAAUGGCCUACCAAGGCGUCGACGGGUAGCCGGCCUGAGAGGGUGUACGGCCACAUUGGGACUGAGAUACGGCCCAGACUCCUACGGGAGGCAGCAGUGGGGAAUAUUGCACAAUGGGCGCAAGCCUGAUGCAGCGACGCCGCGUGGGGGAUGACGGCCUUCGGGUUGUAAACUCCUUUCGCUAGGGACGAAGCGUUUUUGUGACGGUACCUGGAGAAGAAGCACCGGCUAACUACGUG
rnacentral:rRNA from 1 species